rnacentral:snoRNA from 1 species
AAGAUCAUACUUCAUAGAAUCAUUUCUAUAGUAUGAUUAGCGACUACUUCUACGCAAAAGACUCUAGAGCUGAUGACUAUAAGUCUAUUAGC